rnacentral:rRNA from 1 species
UACGUGAGUGGCGAGCGUUAUCCGGAAUUACUGGGCGUAAAGGGUCCGUAGGGGGCUAUUCAAGUGCACUGUUAAAUAUAUCGGCUCAACCGAUAUGCUGCAGAGUAUACUGUUUAGCUGGAGGUAUGUAGAGGUGAAUGGAAUUCCUGGAGUAGGGGUAAUAUCCGUAGAUACCAGGAGGAACACCAAUAGCGAAGGCAAUUCACUAGGCAUUACCUGACCCUCAGGGACGAAAGCGUGGGGAGCGAACCGG